UACGUAGGGGGCUAGCGUUGUCCGGAUUUAUUGGGCGUAAAGAGCGUGUAGGCGGCCAGGUAGGUCUGCUGUGAAAACUCGAGGCUCAACCUCGAGACGUCGGCGGAAACCAUCUGGCUAGAGUCCGGAAGAGGAGAGUGGAAUUCCUGGUGUAGCGGUGAAAUGCGCAGAUAUCAGGAAGAACACCCGUGGCGAAGGCGGCGUCCUGGACCAACACUGACACUGAGGAGCGAAAGCCAGGGGAGCAAACGGG
rnacentral:rRNA from 1 species